rnacentral:rRNA from 1 species
AUUGAACGCUGGCGGCAGGCCUAACACAUGCAAGUCGAACGAGUGGCGGACUGGUGAGUAAUGUCUGGGAAACUGCCUGAUGGAGGGGGAUAUCUACUGGAAACGGUAGCUAAUACCGCAUACCACCAGAUGUGUCCAGAUGGGAUUAGCUGGUUGGUGGGGUAACGGCUCACCAAGGCGACGAUCCCUAGCUGGUCUGAGAGGAUGACCAGCCACACUGGAACUGAGACACGGCCCAGACUCCUACGGGAGGCAGCAGUAGGGAAUAUUGGGCAAUGGACGCAAGUCUGAUGGAGCAAUGCCGCGUGUGUGAAGAAGGUCUUCGGGUUGUAAAGCACUUUCGGCGGGGAAGCGUUACCCGCAGAGGAAGCACCGGCUAACUCCGUGCCAGCAGCCGCGGUAAUAC